GAAGCUUUUAAAUAUUUAUGGGUAUCAUUAAAGAAUAAGCACAUAAAUUUGGUUAAUUUUUAUUAUGCCAUUGAAUUUCGUUAGGAUAUUAUUGAUGGCAAUCACUUUUAGAAUCCACCAUAAACUAGCAACCAUCAUGGAUUUAAUCAAAAGAUUGAAGAAUGAGAUUACUGGGCCAAGCCUGGCACCUUCUGAAAAACUGAAGAUGGGAUGCGAAAUUAAACUGGAUUUUCAAUAUGAUAACCAAUUGCUUUUCCAUGUAACCAUCUGGUGACAAUAAGUACAUAAAACACAUGUAAAUGUAGUAAAUGAUGAAAUCAGAAAAAAUUCUGCAAGAAUUGAUUAUCUCAAGUUGCUGCACAACAUAUUUUCACACAUUUUUUUGUAUCUGC
rnacentral:lncRNA from 1 species